GAGCCUGGGCGUGGCUUAGUUCUGUAGCUCUGUGCUCAGCUCUGAAACUGAAACUAGUCUGCUGACUGAAACUGAAAACUUCUCUCCUCUUGCCUGUGUUUGCUUGUAACUACUACCACGUUGGAAGAACCUGCCAUUGAUGGAAUAUUCCCCACUUUUUCACCUCAAUAACUAAAGGGCCGUGGCAUUGCCCUGGAGCAGAAACAGAUGUUGGUCCUUCAAGGCCUUCCUCUGACUAUAUGCAUACCAAUUUACAUCUUAUUUGCUGGAGGCGAAGGAGGAAAUGCAGAGAUGCAAGACAAGAUCCCAGGGGAUAUUUCCUCAAGGUGGAAUUUCUGUGAAUUUGUGAAGGGAGAGGGCUGCUGAGGGAGACGUUCCCACAAGAGAUCAAAAUGGAGGCC